UACGAAGGGGGCUAGCGUUGCUCGGAAUUACUGGGCGUAAAGCGCACGUAGGCGGAUCCUUAAGUCGGUGGUGAAAUCCUGAAGCUCAACUUCAGAACUGCCUUCGAUACUGGGGACCUUGAGUUCGGGAGAGGGAUGCGGAAUUCCAAGUGUAGCGGUGAAAUGCGUAGAUAUCUGGAGGAACACCGGUGGCGAAGGCGGCAUCCUGGACCGACACUGACGCUGAGGAGCGAAAGCCAGGGGAGCAAACGGG
rnacentral:rRNA from 1 species